rnacentral:misc_RNA from 1 species
UGAGUGUCAUGAAAUUCUCAACCUUUUCAGCUUUUUGUUGAAUAGGCUUGGAUUUUGGGAGUUGUUGCAGGCUGCUCAGAAGUCUGCUCUCCUUAAAUGUAUUAGCGGGGCCCUUGUUGUCUAGCAUUUGGUGUGAUAAUCAUCUACGCCAUUGUGAACAAUGUAAUAGGUCGGCUUCUAAUCGUCUCGUAAAGAGACAAUCUCUGACAUUUUGACCUCAAAUCAGGUAGGACUACCCGCUGAACUUAA